rnacentral:rRNA from 1 species
UACGUAGGUGGCAAGCGUUGUCCGGAUUUAUUGGGUUUAAAGGGUGCGUAGGCGGUCUUAUAAGUCAGUGGUGAAAUACGGCAGCUCAACUGUCGAGGUGCCAUUGAUACUGUAGGACUUGAGUACAGACGAGGUAGGCGGAAUUGACGGUGUAGCGGUGAAAUGCUUAGAUAUCGUCAAGAACACCGAUAGCGAAGGCAGCUUACUAGGCUGUAACUGACGCUGAGGCACGAAAAGUGUGGGGGAUCAAAACAGGG